GACGAACGCUGGCGGCGUGCUUAACACAUGCAAGUCGAACGGAAAGGCCCUGCUUGCAGGGUACUCGAGUGGCGAACGGGUGAGUAACACGUGGGUGAUCUGCCCUGCACUUCGGGAUAAGCCUGGGAAACUGGGUCUAAUACCGGAUAGGAGCCAUUUUUAGUGUGAUGGUUGGAAAGUUUUUUCGGUGUAGGAUGAGCUCGCGGCCUAUCAGCUUGUUGGUGGGGUAAUGGCCUACCAAGGCGGCGACGGGUAGCCGGCCUGAGAGGGUGGACGGCCACAUUGGGACUGAGAUACGGCCCAGACUCCUACGGGAGGCAGCAGUGGGGAAUAUUGCACAAUGGGCGCAAGCCUGAUGCAGCGACGCCGCGUGGGGGAAGACGGCCUUCGGGUUGUAAACUCCUUUCGCUAGGGACGAAGCUUUUUGUGACGGUACCUAGAUAAGAAGCACCGGCUAACUACGUG
rnacentral:rRNA from 1 species